CUGUGGGCACAGAGGCAGGUCUCAGCCCAUCCUCUGUGCCUCUGCCUGGCCCCUCCCACUAUGGCCCCCUGGUCCCUUUUCUGCCAGCAGCCCCACUCCUGCCACAACUGCUCCCACACGCUGACAGCAUCAGUCCCGCUCGCACCUGCUGACAACGCGGAGCAAUUGGGGCUGUUGGCAGCAGCGGGUGUGAGCAGGGCCAGCGCCAUCAGCAGGUGCGAGCUGCGGAUGCUGCCCCAAUUACCCCUCAGGAGCAAGGGGAGGUGGGAGAAGCCCUCAGGGGCGAUUGGGGCCACCAGCUGCUGUUCACGCCUGCUGACAGUGCUGAGCGAUCCAGACGGCACUAGGCGCCAGCAGCAGGUGCGAGUGGCGGCUCUGGCACCGGCUGCAAGUGCGAGUGAGGCCGGCACCCGCAGUGGGUGUGAGAGGCGGCUGCUGGCCCUGAUUGCCCCUCUGGAGCAGGGGGAGGUGGAGAAGCCCUGAGGGGUGAUCAGGGCUGGCAGCCGCCACUUGCACCUGCUGAUGGUGCCAAGUGAUCGAGGCUGGCGCUGGGCACCAGCAGCAGGUGAGAGCAGUGGUUCUGGAGCCGGCAAUGGGUGCAAGUGGGCUGGUGCUGGCAGCAGGUGUGAGUGCCCAGCGGGACUGCAGCACGCGGGAGCAAAGAAUUUUCAGUAACCACCAGAGGCUUGCCCCGAUGACUGCGACCAGCACCCUGCCUUGGUCUGGCGCCCCCACUCACCUGCUCCACCAUCCUGCUGUGGCUGAUGCCCACCCUGUUUUGCACUCUGCCUCCUGCUGUGGAUGCGCGCCAUGUUCUGCGCAUGCCCCCUGGUGGUCAGCACACGUCAUAGUGACCAGUUGUCUGGUUGUUCAAUUGUUCAGUUGUUCUGCCAUUUGGUCUAUUUACAUAUUAUGGUCUAUUUACAUAUUACAUAUAUAUAUGUAUGCCAUGAUUUCUGCUAGUUUUCAAUAAGAAGGUAGAUAAGCCCAAAGAAUGCUAUAUCUGUCUUACACCAAUAAGACCUAUUUUACACUAAGAACAAUAAUGUAUUUCCAUUUUCCAGGUGCCUCUUUGCUCCUUCUGUCUUGUGGCUACUCAUGAGGGGUUGAAGUUCACAGAGACUUUCGGAUGAACUCUUCAGGGCUGAGACCAAGAGCCACCCCUUAAAAAGUGCUGCUUGUCAAUCCAGUUAACAAAUGAGAUUAACAUCCUCAUCUUAAUGAGUGGCUGGUUCCCAGUCUGUUAUUUCACAGGUUGACACUAGAUGUCAGGGAAAGACUUAGCAUUCUAAUUUGCAGGUCUCAACACCAUCCAGCAGAAAGGAAGGUUGCCUGCUGAGGGAAAUCAGAUAUUGAAAAUUGGCAAAUUUCCCACUGUGACUAUUGGGGACACCAGGGUUCUUAGGCAAAAACAUCACUGCCCUGCACAUGCCCUAUUAGAUAUUCCUUUGAUGCUGUUAAAUUCCAUUUACAUGCCCUGAGCAGGUAGCUCUGUUGGUUAGUGUUGUCCCUAUAUGCCAGGGUUGUAGGUUCAACCCCCAGUCAGGGCACAUACAAAAAUCAACCAAUGAGUACAUACAUAAGUAGAACAACAAAUCUCUCUCUCUCUUCCUCUCUCUGUCUAAAAAUCAAUUAAAAAAAACCCAUUUAUAGAAUGGUUUAUGUCAAGGUCACUUCAGAGAAUUAGGUUGUUUUGGGAGGGGAGAAAUGAGAAUCACCAAUUUAUUCUUUCAACUUUAUUAUAAAAGACAUUCAAUUUUAUUUAGAACAAAAAAGAACAGUAGACAUAGCAUGGUCAUGUUCUUAUAAUCCUUUUUGUUAGUGAAUUAGGAAACAGCCAACCUGAUUAAAAAUUACAUGAAUGUCUCAUAAGAUCAUUCCAAUACUCUGUGGUAGUUUCUUUCAUUUAAUAAAUGAUAUUAACUAAAAAUGUGGUUUUGCUGCAGAAUAACUAAAUCUUGACCUGCUUUAGUUACAUUGAUAGAUUCCCAAGGCUCUCAGCCCCUUAACAGGCUUUCUGAUGUAAUAAAAAGCCAUGUGCUUUUUCAUUACUGUGAAUGGCACAUUCAAAAAAAUUUCCCCCCUCCCACUGUGCCUCUCUCUCCCUCUUUCUCUCUCAUCCGCCUCUCCCCCCGCCACCCCACUACUUACCUACCUGAAAGAAGGCAAUGUGAACAAACUGAAAUCAGGCAGGACAGUGUAAAGAACAAAGCCAGAAAAGGGUACAUGAUUUUCCUCAUCAUGCACACCUCUCCCCCAAUUCUAAAGGGUCAACGCCAUAGUCUUCUCAAUCAUCCUUGGAAAAUCUGCACGCCCAAGGCUAAAAAUAGCAAUCCCCUAGUGGGAAGAGGGCCCACCCAGACAUAGUGUAAUAGUCCCACCCAUGGAAAUACAUUCCAGGAGUCUUCUUGGUAAUUCUGGAAGCCAUUAUAUCAUCAUCAAAAAUAGCAUUUUAAUGUCACAUGGGUGUGUCUUCACUUAUUUGUGAGCUGGAUGUUGGGCAAGGCUCAGGGAACAUGAGAAGAAAAAGACAGAGCUUCUCUGAAGGCUUUCAGUGGAGAUGGGAGGCAAACAGGCCAACAAAUCAUUCUAACGUUCAUGACAGAUAUUGACAAGGAUAUCUGUUGCCACACAGCGAUCUUGACAACCUCUUCCUGUUGUAUAAAAAUUGAUGUGGACCAAAAAUCGAGGUAGUUACUCAGUGUAACUCAGAUUAGAAGAUUACUCAGACAGGAAUAAAAAUAUGGAGGGCUGUCAGUAUUAUUGAUUAUUUGUUGACUGGCUUAUUAAUUAAAAAUACUCACAUGGCACAUACUAUGUGCUAGGUAUCAUUCUAAGAAUUUUGCAACCAUCAAUCCAUUUCAUCCUAAAAACAGACCUACUAGCUAUUAUUCUCUUGAUAGCAAUCACACUAUCUGAAUUGUCUCAUUCAUUUAUUUGUUUAUCUGUUUUUGUGAUCCCCUCCCCCACUCCUCAUGUCACUGACAUUUUAGAGAGCAGUGGUGGUCUUUCUUGUUCACUCAGUGCAUCCCAAGUGCUUUGAAGAGUACUUGGUAUACACUGGAUGCACAACAAAUAUCCCAGCUAGUGAACUUCUGACCUGGAAUUGUUGGCUAUAAGAUGAAACUAUGCAUAGUCAUCAUGCAGAAAUCAUAUAUAUUAGAUAUAGUAGAAAUGCACCCAGCACAGAUUCCUGGGAUAUUUUAAGAACUCAAGAAAUGUGAUUCUCCAUUCUCUCUUGUCCAUAUUUAUUGCAAACUCAUCUCAAGGUUCCUAAAAUGAUAAGAAUUCCAUGCCUCUCGUCUUGUCCACUCCUACUCCCCCCCCACCCCCCACCUCCCCCUCACCCCACAUCCUGGACUACUUUAGUGUCCCUAAUCCUUCCCAUUCAUGUUCUGCUCCAAUUCCUACUAUUUUCUGGUCUCUUCCACAGUUGUUAGGAUAAGUGUGCCCCCUGGUGUCCACUUCAGACAUGACACAUUGUGGGGGAUGGGAGGAUGAGUUAUGGAAGGAGAGAAGUAUUUAUGGAUCAUUUCAAGCAAAUUCAAGAGGGAAGAUACCAGCCCCAAGUUCAGAUAAAAGUGUGGCCCAUAGGAACUAUGGUCUCCAUAUGCAUUCUUCAUGAAAUCCGCAUUGCCCUCUAUGACCUCAUCGCUUGGUCUCAGUUUGCGAUCUAGCUACUCACACAGAUUAUUGCCUCCUCUCAUCAGAAAAAUCAGCCUCCAAUUGAUUUUCUUUCCACACAUAUCCCUCCUUCAAGUAAAGCAUCAUUUUCCUAAAGUUCAUAUUUUCUCAGGCCAUUAAUCUGCUCAAAAAAUAUUCAAUGACUUCAAAUUAAAUGAAGAACAAAGUCCCAUCUCCUCAGCCUGGUAUCCAAGACAUUUCAGAGUCCGGGUUUAAUCUGCCUUUGCAGUUUCAGUCUGUUCUACUCUUCCCUGCCUCCCCGACCUUCACAUGCUUACGUGUCGGGCACCUUGACCAUGUCUCAAAGCUAUGCCUCUACUUCAUCAAAGCUGUGUUGACCUUCAUGCUGUUUCCUCUAUCUGAUUUGCUAUCCCUCUACUUUCCUUUGCCCAUUUAAUCCCAGGUGACUCAAACCCAGUUCAAAGACUCUGACUUCCAUGAACUGCCUGGCCAUUGUUCAUGUUGCCACCAUGACAAUUAGACUACAUCUUAUAAUUGGUUUGCUUUUUCUACAGACUUGCCUUUGCCAGGUUUGUAAGUUUCUUUAGGGCAGGGGUGGUAUCUGAUCUAUUUAAUACAUAGUAGGUUCAUAACCUGAAUGGGUAAAUGAAUAUCAAUGCUGAGGCUGGAGUCCGUGUUUCUGGAGCCUAGUCAGACUGGUCUGAGAGGGAAGAGGCCACUUAUCUUAAUAUUGGGACAGAAUAUUUAAAAUUGGAAUGGCCUUGGGCAUAAGUAGUCUAAACUGAAAGCUGGGUUUCCACUUCAGUUCUGUGAGCCUGAGCUUCCUUAGGGAAAUGAUGCACACAGUCGUUUCUGAAUCUCCUUCUUUAUAUUGAAAGGAAGAAGGUGAGGAACUCAGGAAAUGUCUUCUGUACUCUGAUAAAAGGCAAAGUGCGAAAGUUGACAUUAUUAGACUAUCAAUGACAUGCGUAUGGGAAGUUGUAUUUCUGAAGCACUCUGCCAUCCCAAAAUUUAAUUUAGGUUUAUAUUUCUUUUGUUUGUAUCCCAUGGUAGCUGUAUUUUACAAGUAAUUGAGACAAACAAGACUGAUGCUAUGAUAUAAUCUCUUAACUAAUUUCAAGACAAAGGACUAUAUAGUAAUAUAUAGUGGAUUCAACACAGUCCUGGAGCUUUAGUAACUAGAUAAAUAAAAACUUAUCUUCUUCCCGA